UGACCUUCACCGGGGGAGUUCACCCCCUAC
rnacentral:sRNA from 1 species